rnacentral:misc_RNA from 1 species
GAUGAAGAACGUAGCGAAAUGCGAUAAGUAAUGUGAAUUGCAGAAUUCAGUGAAUCAUCGAAUCUUUGAACGCACAUUGCGCUCCCUGGAAUUCCGGGGGGCAUGCCUGUUCGAGCGUCUCAGGGACGAACCCUCGCGCGGGUGUACGCGCGGUCGUGGCUGCGGUGGCGUGCCCGAGGCGGCGGCCACCGCGCUGGAAUCCAUGGGCGGACGCCUGCCGCGUGGCCGAGCGUGAUAUGACGCAUUGGCGCUCGCACGCGGAGAGGCUGCCAGCCCUGGCCCGUCUGUCGGGCGGGGGAGAGCAAGACACGUGAACUCCUCGAAUCAGGUAGGGAUACCCGCUGAACUUAAGCAUAUCAAUAAGCGGAGGA